GUAGGGAAUAUUGGACAAUGGGGGCAACCCUGAUCCAGCGACGCCGCGUGAGUGAUGAAGGCCUUCGGGUCGUAAAGCUCUGUUGCAGGGGAAGAACACAAUGACGGUACCCUGCUAGAAAGGAUCGGCUAACUUCGUGCCAGCAGCCGCGGUAAGACGAGGGAUCCUAGCGUUGUUCGGAAUUAUUGGGCGUAAAGCGGGUGCAGGUGGCUUGGUAAGUCAGAUGUGAAAGCCUGGGGCUUAACCCCAGAAGUGCAUUUGAUAGUGCUGAGCUUGAGUGCUGGAGAGGCUAUUAGAAUUCCUGGUGUAGUGGAGAAAAACGUAGAUAUCAGGAGGAAUACCGGAGGCGAAGGCGGAUAGCUGGCCAGACACUGACACUCAGACCCGAAAGCGUGGGGAUCAAACAGGAUUAGAAACCCCGGUAGUCC
rnacentral:rRNA from 1 species